AUUUUCUUAGUAUAAAUAGUACAUUUGAUUUCCAAUCAAAAAGCCUAUAAUUUUAGAGAAAAUA
rnacentral:tRNA from 1 species